UACGGAGGGUGCGAGCGUUGUCCGGAAUUACUGGGCGUAAAGCGUGCGUAGGUGGUGGUUUAAGUCAGAUGUGAAAGCCCUGGGCUCAACCUGGGAACUGCAUUUGAUACUGGAUCACUAGAGUGCGGUAGAGGAUAGUGGAAUUCCCGGUGUAGCAGUGAAAUGCGUAGAGAUCGGGAGGAACACCAGUGGCGAAGGCGACUAUCUGGACCAGCACUGACACUGAGGCACGAAAGCGUGGGGAGCAAACAGG
rnacentral:rRNA from 1 species